rnacentral:rRNA from 1 species
GGGUUGUGAGGUUAAGCGACUAAGCGUACACGGUGGAUGCCCUGGCAGUCAGAGGCGAUGAAGGACGUGCUAAUCUGCGAAAAGCGUCGGUAAGGUGAUAUGAACCGUUACAGCCGGCGAUGUCCGAAUGGGGAAACCCAGUGCAAUUCGUUGCACUAUCGUUAACUGAAUACAUAGGUUAACGAGGCGAACCGGGGGAACUGAAACAUCUAAGUACCCCGAGGAAAAGAAAUCAACCGAGAUUCCCCCAGUAGCGGCGAGCGAACGGGGAGCAGCCCAGAGUCUGAAUCAGCUUGUGUGUUAGUGGAACGGUCUGGAAAGUCCGACGGUACAGGGUGAUAGUCCCGUACACCAAAAUGCACAGGCUGUGAACUCGAAGAGUAGGGCGGGACACGUGGUAUCCUGUCUGAAUAUGGGGACCAUCCUCCAAGGCUAAAUACUCCUGACUGACCGAUAGUGAACCAGUACCGUGAGGGAAAGGCGAAAAGAACCCCGGCGAGGGGAGUGAAAAAGAACCUGAAACCGUGUACGUACAAGCAGUGGGAGCACCUUCGGGUGUGACUGCGUACCUUUUGUAUAAUGGGUCAGCGACUUAUAUUCUGUAGCAAGGUUAACCGUAUAGGGAGCCGCAGGGAAACCGAGUCUUAACUGGGCGUUAAGUUGCAGGGUAUAGACCCGAAACCCGGUGAUCUAGCCAUGGGCAGGUUGAAGGUUGGGUAACACUAACUGGAGGACCGAACCGACUAAUGUUGAAAAAUUAGCGGAUGACUUGUGGCUGGGGGUGAAAGGCCAAUCAAACCGGGAGAUAGCUGGUUCUCCCCGAAAGCUAUUUAGGUAGCGCCUCGUGAAUUCAUCUUCGGGGGUAGAGCACUGUUUCGGCUAGGGGGUCAUCCCGACUUACCAACCCGAUGCAAACUACGAAUACCGAAGAAUGUUAUCACGGGAGACACACGGCGGGUGCUAACGUCCGUCGUGAAGAGGGAAACAACCCAGACCGCCAGCUAAGGUCCCAAAGUCAUGGUUAAGUGGGAAACGAUGUGGGAAGGCACAGACAGCCAGGAUGUUGGCUUAGAAGCAGCCAUCAUUUAAAGAAAGCGUAAUAGCUCACUGGUCGAGUCGGCCUGCGCGGAAGAUGUAACGGGGCUAAACCAUGCACCGAAGCUGCGGCAGCGACACUAUGUGUUGUUGGGUAGGGGAGCGUUCUGUAAGCCUGCGAAGGUGACCUGUGAGGGUUGCUGGAGGUAUCAGAAGUGCGAAUGCUGACAUAAGUAACGAUAAAGCGGGUGAAAAGCCCGCUCGCCGGAAGACCAAGGGUUCCUGUCCAACGUUAAUCGGGGCAGGGUGAGUCGACCCUAAGGCGAGGCCGAAAGGCGUAGUCGAUGGGAAACAGGUUAAUAUUCCUGUACUUGGUGUUACUGCGAAGGGGACGGAGAAGGCUAUGUUAGCCGGGCGACGGUUGUCCCGGUUUAAGCAUGUAGGCUGGUUGUCCAGGCAAAUCCGGAUAAUCAAGGCUGAGGUGUGAUGACGAGGCACUACGGUGCUGAAGUAACAAAUGCCCUGCUUCCAGGAAAAGCCUCUAAGCAUCAGGUAACAUUAAAUCGUACCCCAAACCGACACAGGUGGUCAGGUAGAGAAUACCAAGGCGCUUGAGAGAACUCGGGUGAAGGAACUAGGCAAAAUGGUGCCGUAACUUCGGGAGAAGGCACGCUGGUGUGUAGGUGAAGUCCCUGCGGAUGGAGCUGAGACCAGUCGAAGAUACCAGCUGGCUGCAACUGUUUAUUAAAAACACAGCACUGUGCAAACACGAAAGUGGACGUAUACGGUGUGACGCCUGCCCGGUGCCGGAAGGUUAAUUGAUGGGGUUAUCCGUAAGGAGAAGCUCUUGAUCGAAGCCCGGUAAACGGCGGCCGUAACUAUAACGGUCCUAAGGUAGCGAAAUUCCUUGUCGGGUAAGUUCCGACCUGCACGAAUGGCGUAAUGAUGGCCAGGCUGUCUCCACCCGAGACUCAGUGAAAUUGAACUCGCUGUGAAGAUGCAGUGUACCCGCGGCAAGACGGAAAGACCCCGUGAACCUUUACUAUAGCUUGACACUGAACAUUGAGCCUUGAUGUGUAGGAUAGGUGGGAGGCUUUGAAGCGUGGACGCCAGUCUGCGUGGAGCCAACCUUGAAAUACCACCCUUUAAUGUUUGAUGUUCUAACGUUGGCCCCUUACCGGGGUUGCGGACAGUGUCUGGUGGGUAGUUUGACUGGGGCGGUCUCCUCCCAAAGCGUAACGGAGGAGCACGAAGGUUAGCUAAUCCCUGGUCGGACAUCAGGAGGUUAGUGCAAUGGCAUAAGCUAGCUUGACUGCGAGCGUGACGGCGCGAGCAGGUGCGAAAGCAGGUCAUAGUGAUCCGGUGGUUCUGAAUGGAAGGGCCAUCGCUCAACGGAUAAAAGGUACUCCGGGGAUAACAGGCUGAUACCGCCCAAGAGUUCAUAUCGACGGCGGUGUUUGGCACCUCGAUGUCGGCUCAUCACAUCCUGGGGCUGAAGUAGGUCCCAAGGGUAUGGCUGUUCGCCAUUUAAAGUGGUACGCGAGCUGGGUUUAGAACGUCGUGAGACAGUUCGGUCCCUAUCUGCCGUGGGCGCUGGAGAAUUGAGGGGGGCUGCUCCUAGUACGAGAGGACCGGAGUGGACGCAUCACUGGUGUUCGGGUUGUCAUGCCAAUGGCACUGCCCGGUAGCUAAAUGCGGAAGAGAUAAGUGCUGAAAGCAUCUAAGCACGAAACUUGCCCCGAGAUGAGUUCUCCCCUGAGACUUUAAGUCUCCUGAAGGAACGUUGAAGACGACGACGUUGAUAGGCCGGGUGUGUAAGCGCAGCGAUGCGUUGAGCUAACCGGUACUAAUGAACCGUGAGGCUUAACCUUACAACGCCGAAG